UGGCGCGCAGUCUGCAGUCGACGCUUUGUGGUUCAACUGAUUUGAAGAGCUUGCUCAGAUAUGACGAUGGACAUUGCAAAGAGUGGCGAACGGGUGAGUAACACGUGGGAAACCUACCUCUUAGCAGGGGAUAACAUUUGGAAACAGAUGCUAAUACCGUAUAACAAUGACAACCGCAUGGUUGUUAUUUAAAAGAUGGUUCUGCUAUCACUAAGAGAUGGUCCCGCGGUGCAUUAGCUAGUUGGUAAGGUAAUGGCUUACCAAGGCGAUGAUGCAUAGCCGAGUUGAGAGACUGAUCGGCCACAAUGGGACUGAGACACGGCCCAUACUCCUACGGGAGGCAGCAGUAGGGAAUCUUCCACAAUGGGCGAAAGCCUGAUGGAGCAACGCCGCGUGUGUGAUGAAGGGUUUCGGCUCGUAAAACMCUGUUGUAAGAGAAGAAUGMCAUUGAGAGUAMCUGUUCAAUGUGUGACGGUAUCUUACCAGAAAGGAACGGCUAAAUACGUGCCAGCAGCCGCGGUAAUACGUAUGUUCCAAGCGUUAUCCGGAUUUAUUGGGCGUAAAGCGAGCGCAGACGGUUAUUUAAGUCUGAAGUGAAAGCCCUCAGCUCAACCUGAGGAAUUGCUUUGGAAACUGGAUGACUUGAGUGCAGUAGAGGAAAGUGGAACUCCAUGUGUAGCGGUGAAAUGCGUAGAUAUAUGGAAGAACACCAGUGGCGAAGGCGGCUUUCUGGACUGUAACUGACGUUGAGGCUCGAAAGUGUGGGUAGCAAACAGGAUUAGAUACCCUGGUAGUCCACACCGUAAACGAUGAGUGCUAGGUGUUUGAGGGUUUCCGCCCUUAAGUGCCGCAGCUAACGCAUUAAGCACUCCGCCUGGGGAGUACGACCCGCAAGGUUGAAACUCAAAGGAAUUGACGGGGACCCGCACAAGCGGUGGAGCAUGUGGUUUAAUUCGAAAGCAACGCGAAGAACCUUACCAGGUCUUGACAUCCCUUGACAACUCCAGARAUGGAGCGUUCCCUUCGGGGACAAGGUGACAGGUGGUGCAUGGUUGUCGUCAGCUCGUGUCGUGAGAUGUUGGGUUAAGUCCCGCAACGAGCGCAACCCUUAUUACUAGUUGCCAGCAUUCAGUUGGGCACUCUAGUGAGACUGCCGGUGACAAACCGGAGGAAGGUGGGGAUGACGUCAAAUCAUCAUGCCCCUUAUGACCUGGGCUACACACGUGCUACAAUGGCGUAUACAACGAGUUGCCAACCCGCGAGGGUGAGCUAAUCUCUUAAAGUACGUCUCAGUUCGGAUUGUAGGCUGCAACUCGCCUACAUGAAGUCGGAAUCGCUAGUAAUCGCGGAUCAGCACGCCGCGGUGAAUACGUUCCCGGGUCUUGUACACACCGCCCGUCACACCAUGAGAGUUUGUAACACCCAAAGCCGGUGGGGUAACCUUCGGGAGCCACCGUCUAACGUAUAA
rnacentral:rRNA from 1 species